rnacentral:lncRNA from 1 species
CAUAAUGCAACACGGUGACAUCGCGCUAUUGCGCCAUUUUGCGACUACUUGGCGGUCUUUUUUGGAUCGGCAGUCAUCAGUUUAUCAGGCGGCCUGCGGUGCACUUACAGCUCAAACUGUGAAGCCAUAUUGUUGUAAGGUUGAUGAAAAAUGAGGUCAUGGCCUGUUUCAGUAUGAAGUGGGGGAAGGGGAAGCUUGCUUUCACCAAGAUCAAUCUGUACACUGUUGUCACAGAGAGUGUCCAGAAAACAUCAAAAGAGACGGGGCAAAUACUGCAGCAGCCACUGCCUUUUGUUUAAAAUAUGCCCCAGCAGAGCCGUCGCAAGGAGGGUGAGAGGCCCUGUGCAAAGUUGAUGUGCGAGGCCCUCUACAAUUUUGUGCGUGUGUGUGUGUGGUGGGGGAGGUUGCUGUAGCAAGGCAAGGCAAGUUUAUUUAUAUAGCAAAUUUCGAACAAAAUGUUAAUUCAAAGUGCUUUACAUAAAAUUAAGUAAAAUAAUCAUGAAGAACAAAACUAAAACAAGCAAUUUUAAAACUUUGGAAAUUAUUUAAAAAUUGACUUGAAUUUAAAACAGUUAGAAAUAGAAAAUGAUCUUACAGUUAAUACAUAAAAUACAGUGCAAUCAGGUCGGACAUCGCACAGUGCUCAUUCAAUAAAUGCACAGCUAAACAGAUGAGUUUUGAGUCUAGAUUUAAAUGUGACUAGUGUUUUAGCACAUCUAAUCUCUUCUGGAGGCUGAUUCUGGAAGCAAUGUAUUUUGGUCCUAGGUCUUUGAGUGACUUCUAGACAAGUAGAAGUACUUUAAUUAAAAUCAAUCUUAAAUGUAACUGGAAG